rnacentral:rRNA from 1 species
CAGCCGCCGCGGUAAUCCAGAGGGUGCGAGCGUUAAUCGGAUUUACUGGGCGUAAAGCGUGCGUAGGCGGCUAAUUGAGUCGGAUGUGAAAUCCCCGAGCUUAACUUGGGAAUUGCAUUCGAUACUGGUUAGCUAGAGUGUGGGAGAGGAUGGUAGAAUUCCAGGUGUAGCGGUGAAAUGCGUAGAGAUCUGGAGGAAUACCGAUGGCGAAGGCAGCCAUCUGGCCUAACACUGACGCUGAGGUACGAAAGCAUGGGGAGCAAACAGGAUUAGAUACCCCAGUAGUCCCUGUCUCUUAUAC